GGAGGUUCUCAGGGGAUGCACCCUGGAAUCGGGCUCCCUCCUCUCUGGUUCCAGGUGCAUCACCCGAGAAGCGCA
rfam:Myotis lucifugus cont2.11769, whole genome shotgun sequence.